UAGCGGAGCGUGUGGUUUAAUUCGACGAUACGCGAAGAACCUUACCUGGGUUUGACAUGCCGGUGGUAGGAAAGCGAAAGCGGCCCGACCCUUCGGGGAGCCGGGACAGGUGCUGCAUGGCUGUCGUCAGCUCGUGUCGUGAGAUGUUGGGUUAAGUCCCGCAACGAGCGCAACCCUCGUGGUUAGUUACAAGUGUCUAACCAGACUGCCGGUCUUAAACCGGAGGAAGGUGGGGAUGACGUCAAGUCAGCAUGGUCUUUAUGUCCAGGGCGACACACACGCUACAAUGGCCGGUACAGUCGGCGGCGACCCUGCGAAGGGAAGCAAAUCUGCAAAGCCGGUCUCAGUUCGGAUUGUAGUCUGCAACUCGACUGCAUGAAGGCGGAGUUGCUAGUAACCGCAUAA
rnacentral:rRNA from 1 species